rnacentral:tRNA from 1 species
CGGGAUGUGGCGCAGUUCGGUAGCGUACUAGUAUGGGGUACUAGGGGCCGCAGGUUCGAAUCCUGUCAUCCCGACCA